rnacentral:lncRNA from 1 species
AUUUUCCUUAUUUAGUCAUCCACCAGAAGCCAUAAACAAGAAUCUGGAAUGUGGAUGAACUGCAAAACCAUUAAUGUUUUUUUUUUCUUAGAAACUUUCCAGAAAUAUUAAUUGAAAGGUUCAAUGUCCAGGACCAAAUAUUAGGGAAGAAUUUAGAUUACUUAUCUUGUGUUUCAUAAGCUAAUGCGGAAACAUCAAAGGAGAUGGCAACAUCAUGUUUGGUUUCAUGAUGCAGUGGAAAGCUAUCACUGUGCAGAGAUUCUCAGUAUGUUUUUGAUCAUUGAAACAGUUGUUUUGGAAAUGAGAAGUUGUAGAAAUGAUCCCUGUUACUUCUCUCCUUCACAGAUCCCUGCUGUCAUAAGUCCUUACAUGCACGACAGAGAAAGUGGUAGCAAGUUAGAGCAGGACAGUGACCUGGAAGCCUUCAGAACAAGAAGAAUGAAAACAGCUACACACACAUCAAAAAGUCCUGAAGAAGAAGAGAAAAAGCACAGCCCUCCCUCUUAAAAAAAAAGAAACAAAAAAAACACACACACACAUACAGACAAAACCCUCUCUGGCGAGCCUGUUCAAGGGUGAAAAGUUGGACAGAAGAGAAAGGUCUUUUGCUGAUAGAGGGACAGGAGAGAAGGGGCCAACCUACAGCUUCCUGUGAAAGUUAUCUCUUGAGGCCUCACUGCACAUUGUCUGUGAGCAUUGUGAAAGUAGAGAACUGCUCCCCCCAAAGCUCUUAAAACCUGAAGAGGUUCAUAGGGGGAAGGAGGUAAAGGUAAAGGUUCCCCUUGACAUAUUUUGUCCAGUCGUGUCUGACUCUAGGGGGCGGUGCUCAUCCCGUUCUUCAAGCCGUAGAGUCAGUGCUUGUCCAGAGGGGGCGUCCGUUGUCACGUGGCCAGCGUGACUAAAGAACACCAUUUUACCUUCCCACCGAGGUGGUACCUAUUUAUCUACUCGCAUUUGCGUGCUUUCGAACUGCUAGGUUGGCAAGGAGCUGGGACAAAGUGACGGGAGCUUACUCCAUUGCGUGGAUUCGAUCUUACGACUGCUGGUCUUCUGACCCUGCAGCACAGGCUUCUGCGGUUUAGCCCACAGUGCCACGACAUCCCUAGGGGGAAGGAACAAUUCUUCAAAUAACCUGGUCCCAAGUUGUGCAUUGUGUGACCAGCUGUGAUAAACCUGGGACAAAUGGAUUGUGUUAUUCUACAAUAGCAGUGCUCUUGUUAUCCAUAUCUGUGGUUUUGAACUGAAAGGAAAGUGAUAAGACACAAUUAAAUCUGUUAAAAUGCUUCUAAUUGGACAGGAUAGAUAUAAAAGAGAUUUGAAUCUGUUGAAUGACUAAAAAUCACCAAGAUUCAUGUUUCUAAAUUACAGAAUGAUGUAUAGAUAAUAACCGUAUGCUAUAUAAGCCUAAAUGUGUGUUCUCCAUUUGCUAUUUUACAUACAAAUAUAGUGGAGCAUUAAAUUACAACACAUUCUGAGAGUUUUCUUUUAUUUCAGCCAUAAAUAAUCU